rnacentral:tRNA from 1 species
GGGGUUGUGGCUCAGUGGUAGAGUGCUCACCUAGCAUGUGCAAGGCCCUGGGUUCAAUCCUCAGCACCACA